rnacentral:rRNA from 1 species
UACGAAGGGGGCUAGCGCUGUUCGGAAUUACUGGGCGUAAAGCGCGCGCAGGCGGCCUUUCAAGUCAGGGGUGAAAGCCCGGAGCUCAACUCCGGAAUUGCCUUUGAAACUGUCAGGCUCGAGUACGGGAGAGGUGAGUGGAAUUCCCAGUGUAGAGGUGAAAUUCGUAGAUAUUGGGAAGAACACCGGUGGCGAAGGCGGCGACCUGGUCCUCUACUGACGCUGAGGCGCGAAAGCGUGGGGAGCAAACAGG